rnacentral:rRNA from 1 species
GGUAGUCCACGCCGUAAACUAUGGAUGCUAGUUGUUGGCCGUAUCGACCCGGUCAGUAACGAAGCUAACGCGUUAAGCAUCCCGCCUGGGGAGUACGGUCGCAAGAUUAAAACUCAAAGGAAUUGACGGGGACCCGCACAAGCGGUGGAGCGUGUUGUUUAAUACGAGGCUAAGCGUAGAACCUUACCAGGGUUUGACAUCCUGAGAAUUACUCUGAAAGGAGUGAGUGCCGGCUUUGAGCAUAUAAUUUAGAUUGUAUGUUGAAAGCCGGAACUCAGUGACAGGUGUUGCAUGGCCGUCGUCAGCUCGUGUCGUGAGACGUUUGGUUAAG